UGUCUUUUAAAUGAAGACCUGUAUGAAUGGCAUAACGAGGGCUUAACUGUCUCCUCCCCCCAGUCAAUGAAAUUGAUCUCCCCGUGCAGAAGCGAGGAUAUAAACAUAAGACGAGAAGACCCUGUGGAGCUUUAAAUCAUAAGCAGACCAUGUCAAGAAUAACAAACAAGAGUUUUAAACAAAUUGGUUACUGUUUUUGUAUUUUUGGUUGGGGCGACCGCGGGGUAAUACACAACCCCCAUGUGGACUAAGAAAAUACUCUUAAAACUAAGAGUUCCAACUCUAAGUAGCAGAAAUUCUGACCUUAUGAUCCGGCCUAGCCGAUCAACGGAACCAGUUACCCCAGGGAUAACAGCGCAAUCCUCUUCUAGAGCCCAUAUCGACAAGAGGGUUUACGACCUCGAUGUUGGAUCAGGACAUCCUAAUGGUGCAGCCGCUAUUAAGGGUUUGUUUGUUCAACAAUUAAAGU
rnacentral:rRNA from 1 species